CUUCCUGCUUUUCAUGAGGUGUUGCAUUUAACGAGCUCAGUUUGCUGGCAAAACAAAACACUCGACUUGGGAUAAUUUGGCUGUGAAAUUGAUUCACAGCCGCUUUAUUUAAAAUCUCGUCAUUUAAUUAGAAAUAUCAUAAAAUCAUUAAAAUUGAUAAUUUGAGUUAAUAACUUGAGUCUGUUAAUGUUCAUUGCCAGUAAAGGUGGCAGGACUACACGCCAAUUAGGCAAAAAAGGUAUAAUAAUGAUAUGUACAAGAAAAAACAACAAACUAAAAUACAAAGCGGCAGGCCAGCGGGAGGAGGUGGGAACAAAAUUCGUAUGUCUUCACUCGAUCACGAGAAAGGUUGAAUUGAGAAGUGAAUAACUUUGCUUUGCUUUUAGUAGCUAAAAUUUGGCCUUGACUUAAUGUUUCUUACGUAGGUAAAAGCACCGGAAUUUCCUUCUCCGCCAAGUCCCACCUUAAUCUGCCACAAUCCAAUCUAACUAUUUCCUACUUUUAUCUUAUCACUAUAAUUCAGGAUUGACAUAAAAAAACAUAUUUCCGUAGGAAAUAUUUUUAUUUAUGUCUUUGCCUUCCUGCUUUUCACGAGGUAUUGCGUUUAACGAGCUCAGUUUACUGGCAAAACAAAACACCCGACUUGGGAUAAUUUGGCUGUGAAAUUGAUUCACAGCCGCUUUAUUUAAAAUCUCGUCAUUUAAUUAGAAAUAUCAUAAAAUCAUUAAAAUUGAUAAUUUCAGUUAAUAACUUGUUAAUGUUCAUUGCCAGUAAAGGUGGCAGGACUACACGCCAAAGACUACGCCAUUGAAGUCAGUCGAACGUAAAUCGCGGAGUCUCCCCACCCGAGGAAAACGCAACACCACUAGCAAACAGCAUUUAAUUAUUAUAAUGUUUUAUAGCGAGCCAAAAUACACCGCAGUAACCCCUGUUAACUGUAGUGUAGGCCGAUCGAAAGCAGUCGCCUCUGCGAAACCAUUAUGAGUAAUAGCAGAAUGUUGUAAAUAGAGCCCUUCAAUACUAAACAUCUAACAGUCGCCCCUGCUGACUGUUGUUAACACAACCACUAAACAUUUAACAGUCGCCCCUGCUAACUGUUGUUCACACACAGAAAGGAAUAAAAUAGUCAGAAAUAACAGUUUAAUUUAAGUGAAUAAUUACUAAUGAACAUUAAUAUAUCUGGUGAUCAAGAAGAGAUGUCCGCCCCUGCUAGACAGGCCCUCUGGACCACCAAAUAUACUAUGCAACGGACCAAGCGACAACACCCCGCAACAUUGUCGCCCGGUUUGGAAGGAUUGUGUUACUCAGAUAAUGAAGCAGUCGUUGAACCUAGAAGACGAAUCUGUGCAUCGGACAAACCAUUCUCAGCAGCGAAAGAUGCUGCACCGAUUCGAAACGAAUGUGAUUUGUAAUGCGACGGACUUAGGUCACAGUAUUUGAGGCAAGCAACAAGGUUAGCGGUAAAAACUUUUCUCGGCACCGCGACGCCCUCCACUGUCAUAAAUACUGGACCCGGACUACAGCCACGAUGAUUUAAAUAUGUUGAUAAUAAUUGUACAGGGCAAGCGCUUGUUUGCCGGUUGAUGACCAUAGUAAA